GCCCAGUCAGGAGCUGACCACCACGUGUUGGUGCAUUUAUUGGGGCUCGGUUGGGGGGACCUGUGCAGGAUCACACCACCAGCUGAAGGAGCGCGGCCCCAAGUCAGUGCUCCCCGUCCAGGGCGCAGAGCCGCAGGGGGCAGAAGCCCGACAGGGGGCUGCCUACGAAGGGGGGUGGGCGUGUCGAGGCCCCUCCUCCACCGAGUGCCCGUCGGAACCCGCUCAAGGGGCGGUGGUGAUCCCUGGUGUAGCACAACAGUACUUGGCAUACAGAAGUGGGAUCUGAAGGUGGAUGCUGGGAGGAUGCCUCUGAUGCCUCAGAGAUGAGCAAGGUACCUGCAGGAAUCUUUUCCAUUCUGGCCUUUCCAGGGUCCUUCGCUGGCUCACCUGGUUAACCCCUAUGGAUCUCUGAACUCCUGCCACAUCACAUUUGAGGUCAAAAUCCAUUUGGUGAGCUACAAUCUGAUCAGGACCUCUGUCCCAGCCUCUGUUUUCAACAUUAGGUAAGAGAAUUCUCUUCUUUUGCUGUUUCUGUUCCUUUACUGUUUCUCUAGACUUACUAUGGGAAAC
rnacentral:lncRNA from 1 species